GACAGGGGAUGCAAGCGUUAUCCGGAAUGAUUGGGCGUAAAGCGUCUGUAGGUGGCUUAAAAAGUCUCCUGUCAAAGAUCAGGGCUUAACCCCGGGCCUGCAGUGGGUACGGGCAGACUAGAGUGCGGUAGGGGAGACUGGAAUUCCUGGUGUAGCGGUGAAAUGCGCAGAUAUCAGGAGGAACACCGGUGGCGAAGGCGGGUCUCUGGGCCGUAACUGACGCUGAGGAGCGAAAGCGUGGGGAGCGAACAGG
rnacentral:rRNA from 1 species